CAGCAGGAGCAGCCAGCAGGAGCAACCAGCAGGAGCCCGUGCAGGGUUCAGAAAGGCCCGAUUGCAACUCCCACUCCGUCCCUUCCGGCUGGCUGACCAGGCAAGUGGCUUCCUUCUCCCAUCCUCUGUUCUCACCUGUAAGAGAGUGGAGCAGUGGGCCCCGGAGAAGAAGGACAAGGGAUAAAGAAAAAGCAGGCUUCUCCUCCUCGCAGGCUGGACGACCCACAGGGGUGUCCACACAGCCUGACCUUCUGUGUGGUCACCCACACACUAGUAUCGCCCCAUCCAUCCACAGCAGGAGGGCAAAAGCUCAUUUUGGUGAAGACCCUUGGACUAUAGCAAUGAGGCGCCAAGUGGGCACGAGACAGGCUGCCCGGGUGAGCGCUGGGUAGACGGACUGAUUACCCCAUGCAGGGAUUAAAACCUCCAGGAGCGCGAGCAAGAGGAGGUUGCUGGGGAAGAACUUUCAGUGCUCCACAAACUCCAACCCUGAGCUGAGGGCAGCCAGAGGCUGUCUGCGCCCCUGAAGCCUGUGUAAGGAACUGGUCCCACCUGGGGGGCUGUGUUCUGAAGCAUGGAGACGGGGUCUGGGGCCUGACUCCCUAUUUAACUUCACUUGAGCUCGUCUUCCAUGAUGAUCACGUGAAGUAAGUUUUCUUUCAUUAUCCUGAGUUUGCUCACCAGCAGGAGGACCUCGGGGCAGCUCCCUCUCUAGCCGGUGCACGGUGCCAUGUCCCCGGAAUUGCCCUGGGGCAAGCCAAUCAGUGACAAGAAUGGCGCGUGGAGAACUGCAGAGCUGGAAAACCUCCCACCACCAGGAGAUUAGGACCAGAUGGUCAUUUGGCCACAACCUCCACCUGUGAGCAGGUGCCCACCAGCCUGUGAUCACCCACCUCCUAUAGAAUCCGUCCCUAAGGCAGCUCCUGGCAAGAUGGCCCUCUCAGGGAGGGUCCAAUAACCCGCUCAUCCCGAUCCAGUUCCACCCCCUCACCUCUGGACCAAUUGGCUUCCCUUGUGCAGGGAACAGAGUGAGCCGUUGCGUAGUGACAGUUCCUCUCAAGGGUCUUGACACGUAUCCCCUACGAUUAGGAUAGUGAUGUGUGUCCACCUAGAAAUCUUGCAAGUGAAAGGGGAGCUGCCAGCGUGGAUUGGGGGUGGGGCACUGGCUGGCUUCCCCAUCAGUCAUCAGGAAAGUAUUCCUGGGCUUCCAGAGGAUGCUUUGAGGGCAAGGGCAGGUGCACACAGACCCACACUGGGCAUCACAGACCCACAUGGGGCAUCGCAGUCCCAACUGAGAGGGCCACCGGGAGGAACCAACAGACUGAAGGGACCGUCAGUCAGCUGGGAAGGAGAUGCACUUGCCUUCAUCAAAUGUGAAAUCCAAAGCUGGCCAAGGCUUGGUUGGAAAGAAAUACUUUAGACUCUCGCUGGGCCCAGACCCUGGGUGGUACCAUCUAAGAACUCGCGCCCAUCUUCUUCCUCUCCCUCCUGUGCAAGGUGGACACAGGGGAAGCUGCCAUCGUGCCCCUUUGCUCUCGCCUGCAAUGCCCUCACAGGUGGCAGGAGCACAGUCCACAUGAAAUCCUGCCUACGGGUGUGAGUGCCAGGACUCAGGCAUUUCUAAAUGGAGGUCUUGGUAUGAUCAAGACCACCUGAGAAGGCCAGGUCUGCCCAUGUUUCCUUCAGGAAAAAGAACUAAUCUGCCAGCAAAUGAAACAAAGUAAGGAGCCUGAGACUCAGUCUGGACUGUUCCAUGGGCAGCCGGCCAGCUGUCCAUCCACCACACAGCACCGAGCGCCGGUUUUCUCUAACACGGGGUUUUGCAACCAUCUCCUAACUAGUCUCCCUGUACUUGUCUUGCCUCUCUCCAAUGCUCUUGCCUUACUCCAUAUUCCCGCCAGCCAGAACUUUUUGAAAUGAAGAUCUGAUCAGAUGACCCCCUUGCUUAAAAUCAUCCCGUGCCUCUCCACCACUCCUCGGAUAACACCUGUCCUGGAACUUCCAAGCUGCAAGGCUUGGCUCUGCUGGCCUCUAGCCUCCCCAAGGCACCCGCUGCUGUCUGAGCCAGCACAUCACCCUUGCAGCUCCUCUAAAGGGGUCUGCUCCUCCCUCUCCUGGACCCUCUAUGGGCUUCCUGUGCCACUGCCACAUCCCCAGUCCUUUCCCAUCCCCCUUGUGGUGCGUAGUCAGAUCUGAAACCAGCCUCGCUCAUUCCUCCCUGACCCUCACAACAGUGCUUUGGACUCACCCACCGUCUCCCUCCUGGUCAUCACCCACCAUUCAGGAUCCAGAAUAGAGCCCCUGACCCUUCCAAAGCACUGUUACUGACCAUGAUCAGAGCAGCUAAUGGUGGGCAGAGGUCAUCACUCCUACUUCUAGCACGUGUUCAUGGCAGUGAGGAGACCGACGAGUGGAUUUGUCGGGCACCGAGACAAGGUCAGCUAGAUAAGGGUCCUGGGUUUGGUGUGCUACUAUUCACACACAAAAAAAUGUUUCCUUCUUACACAGUUUUUCU
rnacentral:lncRNA from 1 species